GAGUUUGAUCCUGGCUCAGAUUGAACGCUGGCGGCAUGCUUUACACAUGCAAGUCGAACGGCAGCACGGGGGCAACCCUGGUGGCGAGUGGCGAACGGGUGAGUAAUAUAUCGGAACAUGUCCGGAAGUGGGGGAUAGCUCGGCGAAAGCCGGAUUAAUACCGCAUAUGCCCUGAGGGGGAAAGGAGGGGAUCCGCAAGGACCUUUCGCUUUCGGAGUGGCCGAUAUCGGAUUAGCUAGUUGGUGAGGUAAAGGCUCACCAAGGCGACGAUCCGUAGCUGGUCUGAGAGGACGACCAGCCACACUGGAACUGAGACACGGUCCAGACUCCUACGGGAGGCAGCAGUGGGGAAUUUUGGACAAUGGGGGAAACCCUGAUCCAGCCAUGCCGCGUGAGUGAAGAAGGCCUUCGGGUUGUAAAGCUCUUUCAGACGGAAAGAAACGGUUACGGCUAAUACCCGUGACUAAUGACGGUACCGUCAGAAGAAGCACCGGCUAACUACGUGCCAGCAGCCGCGGUAAUACGUAGGGUGCGAGCGUUAAUCGGAAUUACUGGGCGUAAAGCGUGCGCAGGCGGUUUUGUAAGACAGGCGUGAAAUCCCCGGGCUUAACCUGGGAACUGCGUUUGUGACUGCAAGACUAGAGUACGGCAGAGGGGGGUAGAAUUCCACGUGUAGCAGUGAAAUGCGUAGAUAUGUGGAGGAAUACCGAUGGCGAAGGCAGCCCCCUGGGUCGAUACUGACGCUCAUGCACGAAAGCGUGGGGAGCAAACAGGAUUAGAUACCCUGGUAGUCCACGCCCUAAACGAUGUCAACUAGUGUUGG
rnacentral:rRNA from 1 species